rnacentral:rRNA from 1 species
UACAGAGGGGGCAAGCGUUGUUCGGAAUUACUGGGCGUAAAGGGCGCGUAGGCGGCCUUCUAAGUCGGAUGUGAAAUCCCUCGGCUCAACCGAGGACGUGCAUCCGAAACUGCGGAGCUUGAGUAUGGAAGAGGGUCGCGGAAUCCCCGGUGUAGAGGUGAAAUUCGUAGAUAUCGGGGGGAACACCAGUGGCGAAGGCGGCGACCUGGGCCAAUACUGACGCUGAGGUGCGAAAGCGUGGGGAGCAAACAGG